CCCAUAGUGCUUUGCGAGACAAACAGAAAACCUCAUCAGCACAUACUAUAAAUACUUACGUGCUAGAAACCGAGGUUCUGCCUGGCCAAAGACAACAAAAGAAGACGGAACUGUACAAGGCCUGGGUAAUCAUCAACAAGCGAAACACCUGCAUUCUGACAGCGAAUCUGCACCUGUAUGGCAGGGUAUGUGAACUUUUUACAUUUCAUUCCAAGCAUUCAGUGUCCGCAGUUUAAUAAACAAAUUUAACUGUUUUCGCUGAAAUCAUUGCCGCAAUCAAAAACGAGUAAUGUGUAUGAAUCAGGAUAGCGUAAACUUACCUGGUAUAAUUUGAUGACUGCAGAGUCGAGCAGAUUUGAUUAGGUCCUCACUCCAUUCAGCUCUUCUGAUAGCUGUUAGCCAAAGACGUCUGCGGUUGGCAUUAAAAGCAGUGUGGUGAACGGUAAAAUUUAAGUUUUCUAAUUUUGGACUUUCGAUUUUGGCAUCCUACAGCACAACAGGACAUGCUUGCAACCGGUAUUUUUUUGCAACCGGUAUGCGCAGUUGAACCCGUGUGACGUCAUGUGUGACGUAGGUUGGUAAUUCCCCUAUAGCAAAUGUAUUUUGCAUAUUUACCAUAUGAUGGUUAACCACCUCCAAAAUUAUAUAAUAUUUAAAAUCAUACCCCCAGUCCCAAGUUACUGCAAGCUUAUGCUUAAUUUCAUUUCAUUUGUCCAUUAUUUUACCAGGAAUUUCCCAUUAAGAUAUGCAUCUCUUCUACCGGGGGUCCUGGCCAAAAUGGCAGCACAAAAAGUUUCAGAUACAAAAUUACACACACACAAAAUAUCACGAAUUGAAAUUUACACAAGUCAUUCACAUGAUUCUUCCAGGUAAGACUUCAAAAGAUUAAAAAAAAAUAUUUAGAGAUGGAUUUGUUUCUAACAUGAUAACACUUUGCAUUUCAUUCCAUAAUGUAAGGCCCAAGGAAAACGCUGAAUAGUAAAAUGCUGUUUUACCAAACUCUGUAUACUCUAGGAACAGUUAAUUUUAAUUAAUAAGAAUUUAAUAAUACUUAUUAAUAAUAAUAAUAAUAAUAACAUUUAUAAAAGGUUUCUGAAUAUAUUGUAGGGCUUUAUAAUCCUUAUGAAUGUAUUUUUCAUCGUAAUUCGAUUGAAGCAAUCUGAUGAUAAAAAUGUAAUAAUGUAAUAUCUUUAUUAAACAACAAUUUGUUACUCUGGGAAAUCUAUCUCUAUCAUAUCAGUAAACAUUCACAUACACAUCUGAACAUAUACAUCAGUAUAUAACCACUUUGAUCUGUCAUUGGGCAAAUUGUGCAUAAACGUAAAGCAUACAGUUUAUAUAUAUAUAUAUGUUUGUACUCGUUUUUUUUUUUUUUUUUCAAAUACUAUACUUAUUUUUCCAGUCUUCAGAGAGGAACAGUCUCAUAUAUAGAUGUACAGUAAGGCUCAACAUAUUCUUUUGAUUUUCCCUUUUUGACCUAAAAACCAAAGUUUACAAAAACAACCAUAGCACCAUAUGUUGUCAGUAUUAAUAAUGUUUUUUGUUUUCUUUUUCAAAAAAAUAAGGUCUAUUACUAGACAUCAGUUUUUUUUCUCAAAUAAUGGCAAUCAAACAAAACAAUUUACUUCCAUUUGUAUUUGACAACAUCAAAUAAAUCUUAUUUUCUCAACAUAAUUAAUGUGUACAGUCAGUUAAGGAAAAAAGAAAUGUUACAGUUAGUAGAAACUCAAUUACUUAAUAAUAACUUUGUGCCUUCAUUCGUCAUACCCCAUAUCUGAAAUACAGUGACAAUCUAACACAAUCUGUUUCCACAGGUAAUUUACCUGUCUCCAACAGCAUGGAUAACAACUCUAAAAUCAGCAGCAACUCAUCCUACAACCAUAAUCAUUAUUAAUAAGAUCAUUUUCCAACAAAAUAUAAAGCCAGUUCUACAAUAACGGAAGAAAUACACAUAGGCUUAGGACAUAGAGAUGACAGGAAUAUACAACACGGCAAUCACCUUCUACAUGUUUAGCGAUCCCUUUUUUAUCAGAAGUACUUUUAGGCCUGUGGAUGGAUGUCAAAAUGAUGCAUUUUCAUCUUUUACGAGAAAUCCUAGUGCAGAUUUUAAACAUCUAAACAUUUUUAUCAAACAAAUAUACAUAAACUUGAACAGAAAUUUGGGGAAGAAGUAAAAAAAUGAACAUAUUCGCUGCACCAAUGCUUCUUUGUGCAGUGUGAAAAGCAAUAAAUGGCACCAUAUUUCAAAAAGAGAUGUUUGUCUGUAAACCGUGUUGAGGUGCUUGUUCUUCCAGAGAAGAGAAGUGUCCGUAAGAGCUCAAAGAGGCAGGUCUAUUGGACGGUGGCUUUGCUUAGUGAGCCACAACGGGGGUCCUGCAGUCCACAUCUGUGGUAGCACCUUAAGAAUAUGUUGAUAAGCACCAGGUCAAGAAACAAAAAUGCACCGUUUUGUGGUCAACAUUUGGCUCUAUAGUAAUACUGAUUGUUGCAGAACCACUGGAUCGGAUGAGCUUGUGGAUGCUCUGGAGCGAUGGGUGGGACGUUGCGUUGAAAUAAACAUGCAAGUGUGUUUGAGGGGUUCACCAUAUAGGAUGCAUUUUUUUGUGAGCAUGCUAAGAAUCCAAAGGAUGUUAAAGCAGUCUGAAGAUGGUUCAGCACUGGAGGCCUUCAAGAAUGUGUCCAAUGCCAUCUCAGAUUUACGUUCCAAUUUUCAACCAAGUGAGCACCAUAUUUACGUACCCAAGUUGGAUUAUUCUUAUUGGUCUACACACAUUUUUUUCUUAAUUUUUUGUCUUUUUUGCAGGCAUAAAUCCAUUUGGCUAGACAUUUGUGUUCACAAGACAAACGACAGAGAGAAAAGAUUAACUUGUUGGCACUACAGCUCAUUCGUUUUGCAAGACAGAGGAAGGCAUAGACAGAAGUACAUUAACAAUCAUUAAAUAAAUUGCUAACUUCAUCGGAACUGUCAUUUAGUACCCAAACAAACCAAUCUCGUUUCUUUUUUUCAGGUUUGAUCGUUAACGAAACCCUUGCGAAUGGUCAAAUGGAACCAGGAAAAGUGUCUAACCCAACAUUCAAGUAUUGCCUUUCAGUACUUUCGAUUUCGUUUGGCAUGUCCUGCAUGGGUACGGGGCAAAAUUGACUGGCUUGUUACAGUACUGAGUGAAACAUGAACUGAGAUAGAGACACUGCCGUUGUUGUUUGCUGCAUGGGCUGCCAUGGCUGCACAGAAGCACCCAAAAAGACAAGGCACCACAAAGAAUUGGUUAUUAGAGACUGGUCCCACUCACCCAUCCCACCCUUGACGUGUACAAAUGGCGAUGUGACUUUAAUAUCCACUAAUCUGAUGUGUAACUUUGACUAGUAAGGCAGUAAUCUGAAAUGAGCCAAUUCUGAUUUAGGUGGAAUCAUUCCCCAUGCCUGCUCGAAUAUGGCAAUGUUGGCAUCGACACAUCAUGCUAAAGUGGAACAAUAGAAGAAAAUAUCACAGUGUAUUUGGAAUAUUUCACCCGGUCUGUCUUACCUCAAUGCUGUAAUUUCACAGGAGGCCAGGCAGCCAAUUCACGCAACCAUAAAAAGGAGUAAAUAACGUAAAAGGGUUGGUGAUUUCCCAGCAAACAACAGUGCAUUAAUGUGCCAAGCACCUACAGGAGCGGAAUACCAGUGACUCUUCCAGGCACUAGAAGGGAACCGGGAACAGGAUUUGAAACCUGAUAUUGCGAGCAUUACAGAAUUUGAAUGUUUCAGAAUUAGAAUUCCUUGCAUGAAAUCCGACUACCCGUCCCUGAUUCCCUUUGGCCAGGUUAUAAAUCUGAGUUGUUAUCUUGAAA